CAAAACUCAGAGUCAGAUAAAGUACAUUUUUACCCAUGCAGCACCAUUUGUUUAGAAAUUUUCACAGAAAAUCUAUGGAGUUAUAAAUGACCCAUUUUACUGUAUCAAGUGUGUCACCAUAUGGUUAUCACAGUAGGUGGAUCCUUGUGGUACUUGGCAGCAUCAACUGUAUAAUGACCGACUGCGGUUUUCAUGUUGUCCUUAGAGACAUUAUAAACGUUCGAUUUAUGUGCUGGAAUGGGGGUUACCUUUGCUUAUUUCCUAUCUGAACUGUAUGUAAUUGGUGUUAGUUUUGUGAAUGCAAAUUAACAUAGUCUGUAAUGUGUCUUACAGAUUUGACUGGCAAAAAGGAUCUGAAGAAUCUCAGAGAACAAGAGCAAUUCCCACCUGGUUUCCAUGGCAUCCGUCCAACUCACAGCAGGAAAGGAAGCAGAUCUCGGCAGUGCUGAGUUCGCCCUCUUCUGGACGGAAGUGAGGGCUCCAAUAAGCCUUGGUCUAAUUAGCCAUGCUGUCAAAACAUUUCUGCACAAGUGCUUUUAGAAAACUCUGCUGCAUGCUCACGCUGAACUAUUCCGAGGGGAGAUUUGUUAAUUUGGGCUUAUGUAACGCUGCAGCUUGCUGCCAUUACAGGAAAAACAAAUGAAAAGGUCAAAUGAUAGUAAAUCCAACCCAGAAAGAACCUCUUAACACAGCUCAGACAACACCCUUCAUCCACCUUUUGCAUUGCGAACAAUUUCCCCUUUAAACGCUCUGAUCAGGUCCCAUAUUGCUCAAUAAAAGAUUUACAUUACUUGGAAUAAAUCAUUCAAGUACAGAAAGAAUUAGAUGUUUCCAGGUAUUAUCGAUUUAAAACUCAACCUUUCUUGUAAAGCAAUUUGAAAUAAGAGAGUUAAACAUAUAAAGCAAGCACUUUUAUUUGUUUGAACAGAUACAUAGAUUUAUAUUGUACACUUUUUUUUGUUGCUAUCUUGUGUUCUUAUACAUGUACUAACCGUGGUUAAAAAAGGCAACUGUUAAUGGAAACAAUGGCAAGUAUACAAUACAAUUAGCAAACAUAUCAAAAUCAGUUUUUACAACAUUUUUAGCAACCAAUUCUUUUUAUUGGUCUGCCAUAGUGCAAACUGUGUGGUUUGAAGACAGAGUGGUAGCGUGAUAUUAACAUUCAUUCUUACAGUUCCGACGUCUCUGUCUCGAACACAUUUUAAUGUGUAGACCGCAUUCACAGCGCCUCUGCUUCAAGUCCUUCUCUCCCUUAAUGUCGAUUUCAAUAAUACUUCAAGUGUGUAGGGCUGUUCGACAGAUGAGUAGUGGACAAAAGCUAUGAUUAACAAUUCGAUCUGUGUGUUUAUUGCAGUGUAUGUGGAAGUUCGCGUCAGAUAACCCUAUUCAAGCUCUGUUCAAUGUUCGAGAGUCCCUCUCUGUUUCUCUUGGAUACUCUUCUUAAACAAGCUCACUGGUUACAGCAAAGAUCUAAAUGAUUGUAUUUUGGAGUGGUUGUGAUAUAUAUUUUUUUUGUAUGUUGUCUGUGUAUCCUAAUGAGAGUAUUCUGACAAGGUGAAAACAUGAAAUAAAGCAGAGAAUGUCAUCCAUUUCAAUAGUGUCCAUUUCCAAGACAUUCCUUUAGUAUAUCCAUGUGACAUUGGACUCCUGUGGCAGAGAUACUGAUUUAGAGGAAAAUGACAAAAAAAAAAACA